rnacentral:rRNA from 1 species
GCUUACACAUGCAAGUCGAGCGGAGCGAGGGUGCUUGCACCUUAGCUUAGCGGCGGACGGGUGAGUAAUGCUUAGGAAUCUGCCUAUUAGUGGGGGACAACAUUCCGAAAGGAAUGCUAAUACCGCAUACGCCCUACGGGGGAAAGCAGGGGAUCUUCGGACCUUGCGCUAAUAGAUGAGCCUAAGUCGGAUUAGCUAGUUGGUGGGGUAAAGGCCUACCAAGGCGACGAUCUGUAGCGGGUCUGAGAGGAUGAUCCGCCACACUGGGACUGAGACACGGCCCAGACUCCUACGGGAGGCAGCAGUGGGGAAUAUUGGACAAUGGGCGGAAGCCUGAUCCAGCCAUGCCGCGUGUGUGAAGAAGGCCUUUUGGUUGUAAAGCACUUUAAGCGAGGAGGAGGCUACUUAGAUUAAUACUCUAGGAUAGUGGACGUUACUCGCAGAAUAAGCACCGGCUAACUCUGUGCCACGCAGCCGCGGUAAUACAGAGGGUGCGAG